AUGAUACAAACAGCACACAAGAGGAAGCUGCCUGUCGUUGCUCUCAAGCUGGAUUUCCGCAAGGCGUUCGAUUCUGUCAGCUGGGAUUGCCUUACACAAAUCUUGAGCAUCAGGGGCUUCCCUGCUAGGUGGAUACAGUGAAUCCAUGCACUUCUUUCAACUGGAUGAUCUAGAGUACUGAUGAAUGGCAAGGUGGAUGCUCCAAUUCAUGCAAAGCGGGGUUUUAGGUAGGGUGACUCCAUAUCACCUUACCUCUUUAUUUUGGUGGCUAAUGUGCUAUAAAGACUA
rnacentral:rRNA from 1 species